GUGGGGAAUUUUGGACAAUGGGCGCAAGCCUGAUCCAGCCAUUCCGCGUGCAGGAUGAAGGCCUUCGGGUUGUAAACUGCUUUUGUACGGAACGAAAAGCCUCUGGUUAAUACCCGGGGGUCAUGACGGUACCGUAAGAAUAAGCACCGGCUAACUACGUGCCAGCAGCCGCGGUAAUACGUAGGGUGCGAGCGUUAAUCGGAAUUACUGGGCGUAAAGCGUGCGCAGGCGGUGAUGUAAGACAGUUGUGAAAUCCCAGGGCUCAACCUGGGAACUGCAUCUGUGACUGCAUUGCUGGAGUGCGGCAGAGGGGGAUGGAAUUCCGCGUGUAGCAGUGAAAUGCGUAGAUAUGCGGAGGAACACCGAUGGCGAAGGCAAUCCCCUGGGCCUGCACUGACGCUCAUGCACGAAAGCGUGGGGAGCAAACAGGAUUAGAAACCCGGGUAGUCC
rnacentral:rRNA from 1 species